rnacentral:rRNA from 1 species
UACGAAGGGGACUAGCGUUGUUCGGAUUUACUGGGCGUAAAGCGCACGUAGGCGGCUUUGUAAGUUGAGAGGUGAAAGCCUGGAGCUCAACUCCAGAAUUGCCUUUGAUACUGCAUGGCUUGAAUCCAGGAGAGGUGAGUGGAAUUCCGAGUGUAGAGGUGAAAUUCGUAGAUAUUCGGAAGAACACCAGUGGCGAAGGCGACUUACUGGACGACUGUUGACACUGAGGUGCGGAAAAGCGUGGGGGAGCAAACAGG